rfam:Tupaia chinensis contig184884, whole genome shotgun sequence.
CCAUGGUGGCAGCUGGGGACAGCCCCACGGUGGUGGUAGCUGG